rnacentral:ncRNA from 2 species
ACAUUUGCACCGCAUUAAGGUUGUGUAUAUUUUCACACACAUUAAAAGGGAAUCAAGUUAAUUCUUGAGCUGUACCCGCAACUGUAAGCUUAGUUCCGAAAGGAAUGUUUGUUGUUAACUACAAGCCACUGUUCGACACACCGAAUGGGAAGGUAAACAACAAAACGCAAGCCAGGAGACCUGCCUUUGCAUAAAAAUUGAA